UUAAGGAAUUCUGCGCUCUCCUUAAUCCGGGGUCCUAGGUGGCAUAUCUAAGAAUUCACCAUUCAGAAUCCCUGCAAUUCUAGAGCUUCUAGCUUAAUAUCAUUCAUCCUACGUGGCAAAUUAAUUCCACAUAUACUAUUUUAUUUUUAUUUUACAUUUAAUUUUCAAACUAUCUAUAAAUCAAAUUAAAAAUAGAUCUCACGAAAACCAUCAGUAAUGGCUCCCACCUCCCACCCCCACCGCAAUUCGCUUCAACUCCCGCCGCCGCCGUGACAGCCGCGAUUUGCCGGCCACGCGAUCUGCCACCUCCAUCCCCCCCUCCCCCGCGAUUCGCCCCGCCUGCCCCAGCCCACGAAAUGCCACCUCCCACUUUGAUUCGCCGCUGCAACUCCCACCGCCACUGCCGCCAUGACAGCCGCGAUUCACCGCGCCGGUCACCGUUCGCGAUCUGCCGUGAUUCUUCCUAUCCAGCCAUGGAGAGAUUGAGCUUGGAAUUUAAGUGAGUCUAGAACCUUCGAUCUUGGAAUUUCAAUUUGAAAUACAAAAAUAGAAAGUGUUUUCUUCCAACUAGGUUAUGUCUCUGUUAAGUGGGACUAGAUUUGUGGCUAACAUAAUUUUGCAUAUUCUUAACCAUGAUAUUAUUGUUACUUAUGGUUGAUAUGCUAUAUUGCCAUUUGUUUAUUGGAUUUGUUUUCUUAUUUUGUUUGUUUUAUGAUACAUCUGGAAUAUGCUUAUAACAAUAAAAGAAAAUUAUGAUACUGAAAUAUUAAGUAUUUUACAUAGUGAAUAAUGUUUUUAUUAGAAAUAUGAGUGAAUUAAAAUUAGUUUACUUCAAUGUCAAUCCCUCCAUUCAUUUUUUGACGUUUAGAAACUUAACAAGUUUUCCAGUUGCACUGAUUAAAACUGGGUUGAGCAUUUUAUCCCAUACUGAUAUCUAAUGUGCAAUUGGUUAUGCCUUGAAACUGUUAAUAUCAAUGUGUGUUGGAAAUUUAGUUUUUUUUUUUUUUUUUCAAUACAUCUAAUCUAAACUUUUUUGUAGAUGAUGAAACCCAAAUAUAGUGCUGGUGUUUGUCUGUGUGAUAACAUUAUGUAAAUCAUCAUUAAAUAUGUCAAUAAAUGUAUAAAAAUCUUAGAUAUAAGAUUACAGUAAUACAUUUUCAAUAAAUAUUUUUAAGGGGUUGCUUUGUUUUGACUUUUAAACCAAGGGACUCUCAUAAAAGAGGAAGUUGAGAUUUUUGAAACGUUUCUGGAAAAUUCUCAAUUGUGAAGUUUACUAUAUAAUUUCACUAUGUUAAUAUUAUAGAUGCAUGGAUAUUAAGAUUUAAUAGUGAGGUCUUCUAUGAUCCAUCACAUUGUUGUUUAUUUAGAUAUACUAUAGAUUUAUUGGGGCUACAAAUUUAUUGGUGAAAUCACAGAGAAGCACAACGCAGUUAUCCGAUCUCUGAGCAGAUUAAACCUUGAUAUGAUUAUCAGUGAUUCAAAGAACAAGAGGACCAAACAAAUUAUUUAAAUGUACAUAAUAUGCAGCCAACUUGAAUCCCCUCUCCACAAUCAACGAUCUACUCAAUUUCAUGCUGGCUUUCGAUUAAAGAAUCGACAUGGAUGGUAAUGGAGUGCGCAAGCUUAAUUUGAAAAUAUGGGAAACAACACCAAUGGAGUUCGAGAAACUGGUGGAUUCGAUGAGAAAGAGCUGCUGGUGACCCUGUAAGAAGGCUUGAGCAUGUACUUCUUGUGAUCGUUGAUCUGUUGAAGGAGCACAAGCAAGAGAAUCUCGGGCACGAAUGUGGCAUGUCGCGACAAGGACUGAGAGACGGGGCGAGAAGGUUGAUUGGGGACACUUGCUUGAUCCAUUUGCUUGAUCAGUCGAGCAUGCUCCAACUUUUUAGUUUAGGCACAAAUUCAUUAUAAGUUCUAUGUUUAAGGGAUGCUUUAAUCAUGAACAUGAAGAGUUAACUUCAUGCUUCUGUUUGUCAUUUAAUACAUCACACAAGCUAAUUACUUAAAUCUGCAGGUGCUUUAUUUGAUUGAGCCAAUUGAUGAAGUUGCAAUCCAAAAUUUAGAAAUAGGAAAAGAGAAAAAAAUUGUUGACAUAAGCAAGGAGGAUCUGGAGCUCAAUUUUGAACAAUUCCCUACGAAUUCUCAUAUUAGCUAGCUCUAUCUCUCCUUUUAAAGUCGAGGUGGGUAUCAGGGCAUGAGAUUUGAUCGUGAAAUUAAGGCGACACUUUCUAUUAUUAUGUCAAGUUGAUAAAUUUAAUUCAAUUAAUAUAAUGAAGUUUUCUACA